CCUACGGGAGGCAGCAGUGGGGAAUUUUGGACAAUGGGCGCAAGCCUGAUCCAGCAAUGCCGCGUGAGUGAAGAAGGCCUUCGGGUUGUAAAGCUCUUUUGUCAGGGAAGAAAAGGUAGCUCCUAAUACGGGCUGCUCAUGACGGUACCUGAAGAAUAAGCACCGGCUAACUACGUGCCAGCAGCCGCGGUAAUACGUAGGGUGCAAGCGUUAAUCGGAAUUACUGGGCGUAAAGCGUGCGCAGGCGGUUAUAUAAGUCAGCUGUGAAAUCCCCGGGCUCAACCUGGGAACUGCAGUUGAGACUGUAUGGCUAGAGUGUGUCAGAGGGGGGUAGAAUUCCACGUGUAGCAGUGAAAUGCGUAGAUAUGUGGAGGAAUACCGAUGGCGAAGGCAGCCCCCUGGGAUAACACUGACGCUCAUGCACGAAAGCGUGGGGAGCAAACAGGAUUAGAUACCCCGUGGUAGUCCCGACCGACCGUAACCGACUAGUCUACUAGUUGUUGGUUACGUUAUUAGUACUUAGUAACGUACGAGCUACGACGUGAGUAGACCGCCGUCGGGAGGUACGGUCG
rnacentral:rRNA from 1 species